rnacentral:sRNA from 1 species
GGGUCCAGUAAAUGAGAAUGUUAUGGAAGAAGAUCUAAAAACCAUGAUUGAAAGACACUUAACAGGACUUUCUUUUUAAAGCUAAAACUCCAACCAAGAGAGUUAGAAUUGGGAAAACUCUGCCAUCAGAAAAAGCUGUUGUGACAGAACCAGCAAAAGGUGAAGAGGCCUUCCAGAUGAGUGAAGUUGAUGAGGAAUCUGGAUUAAAGGAUUCAGAACCAGAGCGAAAACGCAAGAAGACUGAAGACUCUUCUUCAGGCAAAUCAGUGGCGUCUGAUGUCCCUGAGGAAUUAGACUUUCUUGUACCUAAGGCUGGAUUCUUCUGUCCAAUUUGUUCCCUCUUCUACUCAGGUGAAAAAGCAAUGACAAAUCACUGCAAGAGUACACGUCAUAAGCAAAAUACUGAGAAAUUCAUGGCCAAGCAAAGAAAGGAAAAGGAGCAGAAUGAGGCUGAAGAAAGAAGCUCUAGGUGAUUGGGGGAAAGGAAAGAAUUCACUAGAAAUUUGUUUAGGGUCCAGUUGAUUUGUGUAUUUUU